rnacentral:sRNA from 1 species
CAGGUCGUCCCGCGUUGCAGCCAGACCCCCGACCCGGUUGCAGCGCGGGACACCUU